CAGAGUUCAAACCCCUGCUCAGCCAUUCUCUCACUUCCUGCUGGUGGGGACAGGAGAGGCCAGGAAGGCUCUGCGCCAUACAAGAAUCAGAAGCCAUGGCUGAAUCAGCAGAGCCAAAUAAGUGGCUCAGAGGGGUUGUGACGAAACCCAUCUUUCUAUGUGCUGGAGAGAGCCCUUGCUCUCCCUGAGAUAUUAGAAAUCUGCAGAAAGCACUGGGAAUCAUCAUAGAAAGGAUUCAGCCACUGAAAUCAGACCUGAGUUCAAAUCCC
rnacentral:lncRNA from 1 species